GCCAUAGUCGUCUAGGGGUAAGGACACCAGUUUGUGGUUAGAUAAUGAUCACUGGAAACCGAGGUUCGAGUCCUCGCUGUGGCA
rnacentral:tRNA from 1 species